UACGUAGGGGGCGAGCGUUGUCCGAAGUUACUGGGCGUAAAGCGCGCGUAGGCGGCUAUUUAAGUCUGAGGUGAAAGGUUCAACGCUCAACGUGAACAGUGCCUUGGAUACUGGAUGGCUUGAGUUUGGGAGAGGGAUGCGGAAUUCCAGGUGUAGCGGUGAAAUGCGUAGAUAUCUGGAGGAACACCGGUGGCGAAGGCGGCAUCCUGGACCAACACUGACACUGAGGAGCGAAAGCCAGGGGAGCAAACGGG
rnacentral:rRNA from 1 species